rnacentral:rRNA from 1 species
GUAGCGUGAAGGAUGACUGCCCUAUGGGUUGUAAACUUCUUUUAUACGGGAAUAAAGUGAGGCACGUGUGCCUUUUUGUAUGUACCGUAUGAAUAAGGAUCGGCUAACUCCGCGCCAGCAGCCGCGGUAAUACGGAGGAUCCGAGCGUUAUCCGGAUUUAUUGGGUUUGAAGGGAGCGUAGGCGGACGCUUAUGUCAGUUGUGAAAGUUUGCGGCUCAACCGUAAAAUUGCAGUUGAUACUGGGUGUCUUGAGUACAGUAGAGGCAGGCGGAAUUCGUGGUGUAGCGGUGAAAUGCUUAGAUAUCACGAAGAACUCCGAUUGCGAAGGCAGCUUGCUGGACUGUAACUGACGCUGAUGCUCGAAAGUGUGGGUAUCAAACAGGAUUAGAUACCCUGGUAGUCCACACAGUAAACGAUGAAUACUCGCUGUUUGCGAUAUACAGUAAGCGGCCAAGCGAAAGCGUUAAGUAUUCCACCUGGGGAGUACG